UGAGGAAUCUUCCGCAAUGGGCGCAAGCCUGACGGAGCGACGCCGCGUGAAGGAUGAAGGCCCUUACGGGUCGUAAACUUCUGUUCUGAGGGACGAAAUUUUUUGACGGUACCUCAGGAGAAAGUAUCGGCAAACCCUGUGCCAGCAGCCGCGGUAAGACAGGGGAUACAAGCGUUACUCGGAAUUACUGGGCGUAAAGCGUCUGUAGGUGCUUUGGUAAGUCUGUGGUAAAAGCUCGGGGCUCAACCCCGAGAGCGUCAUGGAAACUACCGAAGUUGAGCAGUAGAGAGGCAUCUGGAAUGCCGCAUGUAGGAGUAAAAUCCGUAGAUAUGCGGUAGAACGCCAAAAGCGUAGGCAGGAUGCUAGCUACUUGCUGACACUGAGAGACGAAAGCGUGGGGAGCGAAGCGGAUUAGAUACCCAAGUAGUCCCUGAGCGGGCUGGCAAGGCGCAU
rnacentral:rRNA from 1 species